UACGAAGGGGGCUAGCGUUGCUCGGAAUCACUGGGCGUAAAGCGCACGUAGGCGGAUUUUUAAGUCAGGGGUGAAAUCCUGGAGCUCAACUCCAGAACUGCCUUUGAUACUGGGAAUCUCGAGUCCGGGAGAGGUGAGUGGAACUGCGAGUGUAGAGGUGAAAUGCGCAGAUAUCAGGAAGAACACCCGUGGCGAAGGCGGUUCUCUGGGACGGUACUGACGCUGAGACGCGAAAGCGUGGGGAGCGAACAGG
rnacentral:rRNA from 1 species